GCCUGAGGCCGGACCUGGCCGCCUGGAUGUGGCAAGCUGCAGCUGCAAGCGCUUGGACCCCGGGGGAGCCUUUUGGAGGGAUGGUAUUUCCAGUAUGAAUUCCCACCAGCAGUGCAUGAGAGUUCUGAAAUACCUACAUUCUUUCUACACUUACGGUCCACUCUAACAACACUGUGCCCACCCCUCUGAAGCAGGUGAAGCAACCAAGGAAGAAAAGAACCAUAAAAACAAGAAAAUAACAGGCCCCAUCACCUCCAAGGUCCACAAGCGGAGAUGUCCAUCCUCAUGUGCAGUGACAAGGAUAGGUGAUUACUCUUGCCAUCAUCUGUGGAUUCUGGUGUGGAUACUGUGGAUACUGCCUGGGUGUGGGAAAUAAAAAUCUGCU